UACAGAGGGUGCAAGCGUUAAUCGGAAUUACUGGGCGUAAAGGGCGCGUAGGUGGUUUAUUAAGUUAACUGUGAAAGCCCCGGGCUUAACCUGGGAGGGUCAGUUAAUACUGGUAGACUUGAGUACAGUAGAGGGUAGUGGAAUUUCCAGUGUAGCGGUGAAAUGCGUAGAUAUUGGAAGGAACAUCAGUGGCGAAGGCGGCUACCUGGACUGAUACUGACACUGAGGCGCGAAAGCGUGGGUAGCGAACAGG
rnacentral:rRNA from 1 species